UAGACCAAAUAUUACCCUUGUUUAUACCAUCUUUCAUAUAAUUUAUACUCAAACUAUAUAGUAUUAUAAACUUUAGCAUAUUAUAGCAUACAAUGACUUAUUAAUUAAGUAAAUUAUACUUAAUUAAAUAGUUAUUACUUAUAAUAGUUUAUUAAUAUUAUACUAGUAAUAAUAUAAUCUUUACAUAUGCUAUAAAUUACCUAUUGAAAUACAACAAGUUAUAUAACAUAUACUAUAUGGUAUCAUGAUAAGUGAUACCAUAUAGUAAUUAAUACUAAGAUAUUAAUUAUCUAUAUAAAUAUGAUAAAUAUAUAUUUAUAAUUAAUUCACUAAAUACAAUAUAUUUAAUAUUAUAGUAUCAUACGGUAUAUUUGUAAUAUCCAAUAGGUCAAUUGUUAUCACUAUAUGCACAUAAAUAUUAUAUUACAAUAUGAAAUACCUAAUAUGUAUAAUAGGCUUAUAAGAAAUAUAUUAUGAUACCAGUGGAUGUAUCAUAGUUUAAUCAUAUUGUACCUCAGGUAACUUAUAUACUUAAUAGGUAUAAUAAAUUAUCCUAUAAUUGGUAUCACAAUUGAUCAUGUAUUAAUAAUAUAACUACAUACAUCUUUAAUUUCAUCUUGACCUAUAAUAAAAUUAUAUUUAUUCCAUUAUAUAAUCUUAUACCAAAUAAGUUAUAAAUAGUAAGCAUAUACUUAUAGGUAUAUAAAUUUAGUAAGGUAUAUCUGUAUAAUUAUAGUUGAUAUGAUAUCUUAUUACCAUAUUAUUUAUAUGGUUCUCCUAUCAUAAAAAUACCCAUAUAUUAUGAAUAUGGUAUAAAAUAUUUAUAUGAUAAUUACUCUAAUAUUUAUAUUAUAUUAAUAUAAUUAUAAGUUAUACCUAAUAUUAUAUUAGUAUAACCUUGCAUACCUUUAUAACUAAUAUUAAUAGUGAAUGUAAUGAUCAAAUUAAAUAGUAUCCUCGAUACAUACAUAUAUAUGCUUACCAAAUAUUGAGCAAGUGAUACCUAUAUGCACCAAUAAGUUAUACUAUACCCCUAAUUACACUUAGGGGAUAUGACUAUUCGUGACACCAAUACUAAUUGGGUAGCACUCCAUAUCAUGCACAAAUUUGUAUUUUAUCACCAACUACUUAACCGUGAUAUAAUAUUAGUUUACCCCAAUUAGGUUUGUAAACAUUUAAUCCAAGAGUAUUGUUUAUUAUAGACGUAUUUAAAGUAGUGUACUAAUAAGUGUUAUGCUCAUUUAGGUCAGUAUACUCUAUAUUGUUUAGUUAGCCCUUCAUUUAUUAGUUAUGUACCCAAUAUAAUACCACAUCUUAAACCUUAUGAUAGUUAGACUAUGCUCAAUAUUUAAGCAAAGUAGUUAUUUUUCCAUAACUUUAUAUGAAAAGUUAUAUGAAUCACAAGGUAUGUGAUUACAUUUGUCCCUAUAAAUGCUUUUAUAUACCAACUGCAUUCAGAAGUAGUGUACUAAUAAGUGUUAUGCUCAUUUAGGUCAGUAUACUCUAUAUUGUUUAGUUAGCCCUUCAUUUAUUAGUUAUGUACCCAAUAUAAUACCACAUCUUAAACCUUAUGAUAGUUAGACUAUGCUCAAUAUUUAAGCAAAGUAGUUAUUUUUCCAUAACUUUGUAUGAAAAGUUAUAUGAAUCACAAGGUAUGUGAUUACUAUAAAUGAUCUAAGGUAUACCUUAUUAGUUUACCGAUUAUACGUAUUCCUAUGCUUAAACAAAUAUAUUACUAAUUGGUAUAUAAUCGUAUAUUAGUUAUACCUUAUAAGUAGGGUAUACGUAUAGGGUUAUAAUUUGAUGGCAUAUUUUAUCCAAUCAUACAAUGUCAAAAUAUACUAUAGUAUAAGGUAUAUAUUAUCAUAUGUGCAUAAUACAUAUGAUAUUUAUAUUAUGCCUUUACGUAUGAUUAUCAAUGAUUACCGAGAACUAUUGGUAUAGUAUAUACUUAUUAGCAUAAUGACUAUGUAUAAUAAUAUAGUAUUAUUAUUAUUAUUUAGUACAUUAUAUGGUUAGUUAUACCUAUAUGGUAAUACACAUAUGAAUACUCUCCAUACGGUUACUAUAAUAUAAUCN
rnacentral:lncRNA from 1 species